rnacentral:rRNA from 1 species
GACGAACCCUGGCGGCGUGCCUAAUACAUGCAAGUUGAGCGAUGAAGAUUGGUGCUUGCACCAAUUUGAAGAGCAGCGAACGGGUGAGUAACGCGUGGGGAAUCUGCCUUUGAGCGGGGGACAACAUUUGGAAACGAAUGCUAAUACCGCAUAACAACUUUAAACAUAAGUUUUAAGUUUGAAAGAUGCAAUUGCAUCACUCAAAGAUGAUCCCGCGUUGUAUUAGCUAGUUGGUGAGGUAAAGGCUCACCAGGGCGAUGAUACAUAGCCGACCUGAGAGGGUGAUCGGCCACAUUGGGACUGAGACACGGCCCAAACUCCUACGGGAGGCAGCAGUAGGGAAUCUUCGGCAAUGGACGAAAGUCUGACCGAGCAACGCCGCGUGAGUGAAGAAGGUUUUCGGAUCGUAAAACUCUGUUGGUAGAGAAGAACGUUGGUGAGAGUGGAAAGCUCAUCAAGUGACGGUAACUACCCAGAAAGGGACGGCUAACUACGUG